UACGUAGGGUGCGAGCGUUAAUCGGAAUUACUGGGCGUAAAGCGUGCGCAGGCGGUUUUGUAAGCCAGAUGUGAAAUCCCCGGGCUUAACCUGGGAAUGGCAUUUGGGACUGCAAGGCUUGAGUGCGGCAGAGGAGACUGGAAUUCCUGGUGUAGCAGUGAAAUGCGCAGAUAUCAGGAAGAACACCCGUGGCGAAGGCGGUUCUCUGGGACGGUACUGACGCUGAGACGCGAAAGCGUGGGGAGCGAACAGG
rnacentral:rRNA from 1 species